rnacentral:rRNA from 1 species
AGAGUUUGAUCCUGGCUCAGAAUCAACGCUGGCGGCGCGCCUAACACAUGCAAGUCGAACGAGAAAGCAGGAGCAAUCUUGUGAGUAAAGUGGCGUACGGGUGAGUAACACGUGGAUUAUCUACCCUCUUGUGGGGGAUAACUCUGGGAAACCGGAGCUAAUACCGCAUAAGCUCGAGAGAGGAAAGCAGCAAUGCGCAGGAGGAGGAGUCCGCGGCCGAUUAGCUAGUUGGUAGGGUAAAAGCCUACCAAGGCUAAGAUCGGUAGCCGGCCUGAGAGGGCACACGGCCACACUGGCACUGAAACACGGGCCAGACUCCUACGGGAGGCAGCAGUGGGGAAUCUUGCACAAUGGGGGCAACCCUGAUGCAGCGACGCCGCGUGAGCGAUGAAGCCCUUCGGGGUGUAAAGCUCUUUCGGCAGGGAAGAUUAUGACGGUACCUGCAGAAGCAGCUGCGGCUAACUACGUGCCAGCAGCCGCGGUAAUACGUAGGCAGCAAGCGUUGUUCGGAGUUACUGGGCGUAAAGGGUGUGUAGGCGGUCCUCUAAGUUUGGUGUGAAAUCUCCCGGCUCAACUGGGAGGGUGCGCCGAAAACUGGGGGGCUAGAGUGCGGGAUGGGAAAGUGGAAUUCCUGGUGUAGCGGUGAAAUGCGUAGAUAUCAGGAGGAACACCUGUGGUGUAGACGGCUUUCUGGACCGCAACUGACGCUGAGACACGAAAGCGUGGGUAGCAAACAGGAUUAGAUACCCUAGUAGUCC